rnacentral:tRNA from 1 species
GGCUCUGCGGGAAAUGUGUAGUGUGCCUCCUAAGCGCUAGAUACAGGUUCGAUUCCUGUCGGGGGGACCA